GCGUCCGACGUGUUCGGUUGGAAAAAUGAUGGCAAGUCGAGUUCCCAUUACCUAGACUGUGGUCGGACACAUACGUCGCAGCGCGUGAUAAAUGAUGGCAAGUCAAAUAUCCUUCGAUCGAUCGUGACCUGGUCGGUAGGUUUCGGAUGCGACCUUGGUCGCGUUGGCGCUUGGCCUUUCUCGGCUGGGGCCAAGUCGGCAAGUUAGCCGAUGGUUUUGCUCGAGAGUCUGAUUGUAGAAGGAGCGUGGCCCCCGUCAUCGUGGAUAUAUCGGUCAUCGUAAGUAUCCGAUAUGUUGUCGGC
rnacentral:lncRNA from 1 species